GGGCCGGCGCCGCCCGCGCCGCGGAGCUUGUGAGGGAUGCGGUGCCUCGCUCCCCGUGAGGCCGAUCCCUUACGAGCUUUAAAUUAUUCAGUCGGGACGCUGUCGCGUGAGACACCGGCUCCCGCCGGCUCCAACAAAAGCCGUCCUUAAUGUUUUAUAGGGGGAUACAGGAGAUACGCUGUUUGACACAGACGCAGUCCGGGGGGAAGGUGGCGGUGGCCACGGCCCUGCUUUCUGUCAGCGCGCUUCCUCGGACUGGCUGGGUCGUCAUUACUUGAUUUUCGGAAGCUGUUCUGACUUUCAGAAAGAAAAACUGAGUCCUCCAAGGAGCUUCCUUUUUUCAACAUUUUAAUGGAGCUAACUGCAGACUUAGAGUUGAAGUAUCCCUGUUUGGGGAUGAAAUCAGAGAAGUUCAGGAAGACAAAAUGCACCACAAGGAUUUUUGAAUUUCACUCCAUCUCUGCAGCUGAAGAAAAAUAUUCUCUGUAAAGUAUCUGGUUAAUCAGAUAGACCUUGAAUGUUCUCCCCUCUCACCACUUCAAAAACAGACCUGAAAGCCUCUGUGCUUACACUUUUACUUGUAUGCUAAAUUCUGAACCUAGAAGGAUUUUCUUGAAAAAAGGCUGCUUGAGUAGAAAGAAAUCAGAUUACUAGCAGACAAUUUCAAACAGCGAUGGGAGGGAUGGACUGCCAAAAUAUAAAGAAGCAUAUGUUCAUAUGAAUGAGGAAAGUAGAAGAUAAAAGUGCAUUAUGUACAUGCUCUGCAGGAUUUAAAAUAAGGUAUGAAGGAAUAUUAGAGUGUGCAGCUUAAUGUGAAAUAUGCUCUAAGGCAGGUACAGAGAUUA